rnacentral:lncRNA from 1 species
CUUCACGCCACACCGAAAGCAGCAGUUCCUCUGAGCUGGUUCUGAACAGGGAAAUAUGGUCCCAUCUGCUUAACACUCUGCUUGUAUUCAUCGUAUCCAUUGAAGUUGAGCUUUCAUAUUUUGUGAAUUAAGUGUUGUACUAAAACUUGAUGACAUUUCUUUCUUCUAGAUUGCCAGCAUACUUUGUUGUCCCCACCCCUCUUCCUGAAGAGAAUGUGCAGCGCUUUCAGGGUCAUGGCAUACCAAUAUGGUGUUGGUCCUGCCACAAUGGAAGUGCCCUUUUGAAAAUGUCAGCACUGCCCAAAGAACAGGAUGACGGCAUUUUACAAAUCCAAAAGAGCUUCUUAGAUGGAAUUUACAAGACCAUCCACAGGCCACCCUAUGAAAUUGUUAAAACGGAAGACCUGUCAAGCAACUUCCUGUCCCUGCAGGAAAUCCAGACUGCAUACUCUAAAUUUAAACAGCUAUUUCUGAUAGAUAACAGUACUGAAUUUUGGGACACAGAUAUAAAAUGGUUUUCUCUGUUGGAAAGUAGCAGCUGGCUUGACAUAAUCAG